rnacentral:lncRNA from 1 species
UGCAUGAAUGAUAUAUUAUAUAGUUAAUCAGGAGAAUAUAGUCCAUUUUGUCAGUGAGUGUGAGCAUGCUAUUUUUUUUUUCUUUAUAUAAUCGAUUUGUAAAUAAUUUAAAUUUAAAAGAUAUGGGAAUGGUAUUUAUUUUUUCUUAUUGGAAACCAUAUUUUUCUUUCUCUUUUCUUAACAUAUGAACUGGAUCAGACCAUACCCAGGAUAUGAGUUUGUAAGAAGUAAUUUGNUGUCAGGGUUUAGAUAAACUGAGUCAAGUUCAUAAGAUCAUGG